rnacentral:rRNA from 1 species
GAUGAACGCUGGCGGCGUGCCUAAUACAUGCAAGUCGAGCGAACAGACGAGGAGCUUGCUCCUCUGACGUUAGCGGCGGACGGGUGAGUAACACGUGGAUAACCUACCUAUAAGACUGGGAGAACUUCGGGAAACCGGAGCUAAUACCGGAUAAUAUGUUCAACCGCAUGGUUCAAUAGUGAAAGACGGUUUUGCUGUCACUUAUAGAUGGAUCCGCGCCGCAUUAGCUAGUUGGUAAGGUAACGGCUUACCAAGGCAACGAUGCGUAGCCGACCUGAGAGGGUGAUCGGCCACACUGGAACUGAGACACGGUCCAGACUCCUACGGGAGGCAGCAGUAGGGAAUCUUGCGCAAUGGGCGAAAGCCUGACGGAGCAACGCCGCGUGAGUGAUGAAGGUCUUCGGAUCGUAAAACUCUGUUAUUAGGGAAGAACAAAUGUGUAAGUAACUAUGCACGUCUUGACGGUACCUAAUCAGAAAGCCACGGCUAACUACGUG